rnacentral:rRNA from 1 species
UGGGGAAUUUUGGACAAUGGGCGAAAGCCUGAUCCAGCAAUGCCGCGUGUGUGAAGAAGGCCUUCGGGUUGUAAAGCACUUUUGUCCGGAAAGAAAUCCUUGGCUCUAAUACAGUCGGGGGAUGACGGUACCGGAAGAAUAAGCACCGGCUAACUACGUGCCAGCAGCCGCGGUAAUACGUAGGGUGCAAGCGUUAAUCGGAAUUACUGGGCGUAAAGCGUGCGCAGGCGGUUUGCUAAGACCGAUGUGAAAUCCCCGGGCUCAACCUGGGAACUGCAUUGGUGACUGGCAGGCUAGAGUAUGGCAGAGGGGGGUAGAAUUCCACGUGUAGCAGUGAAAUGCGUAGAGAUGUGGAGGAAUACCGAUGGCGAAGGCAGCCCCCUGGGCCAAUACUGACGCUCAUGCACGAAAGCGUGGGGAGCAAACAGGAUUAGAUACCCUGGUAGUCCACGCCCUAAACGAUGUCAACUAGUUGUUGGGGAUUCAUUUCCUUAGUAACGUAGCUAACGCGUGAAGUUGACCGCCUGGGGAGUACGGUCGCAAGAUUAAAACUCAAAUGAAUUGACGGGG